CGAAGCACACCGGGGACGUUCCGAGCACCUGCUUCCUCUCACUGCAUCUUGCGUUUGGGAGGGGGGGGCUCAGAGGCGCCGCGUCCCCGCACACGCCGGCCGCCCCAGCCCCGCGGGCUCCUUUCGGCAGGAAGCGCGUCCCCCGGCGCGGCCAGCAGAGGGCGUCCCGCCGAGCGCCGGCCGCGCAGAGCCGGCCCCGCGGGGGGAGCUCCCGCGCCGGGCGGCCCGCAACCCCCGCGCCCCACGCAGCUGUGGGUGAGAUUGACAGCGACCUGAUAGGAUUUAUUCUGCUGUUUUUAAUGCUCAAGAAGUGUUUCGUGUGAAGUAUUGGGAUGCUAUUAGAGAAAAUUUAAGUGUGUAUAUUGUAUAAAUUACCUAUACAACAUCUGUUAUCAUGCACUUUUUCUUUUUAACACCGAGAAGCGGCGUCAGAUGUCUGCAGUGCUUGGAGCUGCUCUGUCGUCAGCGGCAGGAAGUUUAUCCCGGGGCAUCCACAGGAUGUUCUUUUUCAUCACCACCAGCUACAGAGAACAAGUGAUAAAUAACAGCGCCUGCAUGCACGGUCACAUACAUUUCCUCACGUAACAAUAACCCUGAAUAUGCAGGAAGCAAGACCCAUUUGAAGCUGGGAUCAGAGAGACGUUCUCUGGCUUUUGAUGGAGAGGUCGUUGCCUUACAGAGACCCAGCCAGUGACCUUGGCUCCCAGCGCCAGCUUCUGCCAAAGAAGCCCCUGGCUCAGACCACUACGUUAAGCCAAGGAAAUCCCUUGACGACAUCUGUCCCCAGCACGGAAUCAAACUAUUAUUCAAAGGACAAACCGUCUCUUAUUAAUUAGAAGAAAUCCUAGAAGCAGCCUUGUGCACAAGGGCACGCAAGGCUUUUACUUCUCCCUUGGUGAGUAUUAGCCCUGGGCCUCAGAGCAACGCCGGCGGGGACUGUUGUAUCACCGCCUUAGCUCGAUGGGGGACAUUCAGGGUAUUUAAUUAUUCCAUGUUUAUUCUAGAGGACAAUAAAUUUUGUCGUUUCUAUAAACCUAAGCAUGCCAGUACACAAUUCAGUUGCUUCCAUGAAAAAAUUUAACUCAUUAUUUCUACUAACGGACCAGUUUGAAAUUUUCAACAGUUGGGACACUUUGGUGAAGUACAAAAGACCGGCCCUCCCACUCGGCGCUGUUACUGAAAUGAGCUCCUUCGGAGGAGCUGUCCCAUCCCAUCCUUGGCUUCACGGACCUUGUUAUUUCAGUUCGUGGGAUGGGAAGCAAGGAUUGGGGAGAGGACCUUUAGUUCCCAGUGGGAAUUGAAUGUUCAGAAGGCAGGAGAAAAGUAAGUCGAGAAACCUCACUGUGUUUUCUACACCUCCCCUCCCACCAUCCUUCUGGUUUCCUUGCUCUGUGGCGGCCGCGGGCCUCUCUCCCAUCACCCCUCUUCAGUCUUUGCUGAUAGCAGGAAUGGUAGCUGCAGAGUCGCUGCCGGAGCCCCUGGCCUCUCUGUUCCUCCUGGAAGCCUUCCUCAGGCACCAGUCCUUCUUUCCGCCUUGCCUUUUGACCCGCACAGUAAAACAGACCUGACGAGGUUGACGAGGGACAACGGUGAGUUUCCCUUACCAGCUUUCGACUGGCCAGAGAUGCAAGCAGAUGUGGGGUGCACAUUACUAAAUCUUUGGAGUCCUCAUUCUUCCGCGAUGUGCUCAUUCUGGACAUUUCCUAGGAAUGGAAUCAUACACCAUGCAGCCUGGGUGUCUGGCUUCUUUCUUAGCAUCACGUUUUCAAAGUUCGUCCGUGUUGCAGCGUGUAUCAGCACUUCAUUCUUUUUUCUCCCGAAUAAUAUUCCACCGAAUGGACACCCUGGGCUUCCUUCACCCACUAGUCAGGUGUCGGCGCGUUUGGAUUCUUUCCACUUUGGGGCAAUUAGGAAAAACGCUGCAGUGGACGUGCACGUGCGGGUGUUUUGGGAUGCGGAACUAGGUCCUCCGGUUACCGUCCAGCGCGGACAGUGGGGCGCGGCCUGCCAGCGGGGGCCGGGCCUCCGGCUGGGGCGGGUCUGCCCCGGGGACACGGCCGAGCCCGCGGGCCGCCGGCGUCGGGAGCUGCCUCGGGGCGCGGGCGCGGCUGCGGCAGGAGCGGCCCGUCCGGGAGCGGCGCCCCGGCCCGUCCAGGGCAGUCUUCUGCCCGCGCGGGAGCCCGAGGCCAUCCGCACCGAAAGUCGCCCGCUGAAUCGCCCUCCCGCCUCCAAGAACACAGGAAGCCCCAAACACUAACACCUCGAUUCCAGAUACGCCGCCACGUGCAGGUGCCUCUCCUUUUCCUAUGUACGAGGUGGUGGACCGUCCACACCAAGACCUUUAAGAGCGAGGGGAUGCUGUUCAUAACCGCGCGCUGACGGCAGCGGGACGCUUGUCUGGGCGAACCAGGAUACUAGUCUAUAGGGUCACCUUGGGCGAUUUGAGCAAUUUAUCUAAAUGUAUCUAAACUCACAAAACAUUCUUGACCCCUCACACUCUGCCGGUGAAACGGAAGGAAGGAGGAAGUGAAGCGAUUUUAAAAAGAAACAAAGCCCAAUUCAGCACUGCGUUUGGAAAAAUGUCCCGUUUCGUUAAGAACACUGAGACCUAGUUAGCGUAUUUUGCACCACUUUUGUUAAAUAUUUGGAGAUUUAUUUGUAAACACUGCAACAAUUUCUGUGGACAUCAGCGAAGCAACGUUAGCAAGUGUCACGGGGGAGGUGGAACUAGCCUGUGUUCCAGACUGACUUGGCAUUUCUUCCCAAGGGGUUCUCUCUGCG
ensembl:lncRNA